AUUUCCCUCUUUCUUUAGGCCUAACACAUGCCAGUCGAACGGCAGCACAGUAAGAGCUUGCUCUUACGGGUGGCGAGUGGCGGACGGGUGAGGAAUACAUCGGAAUCUACUUUUUCGUGGGGGAUAACGUAGGGAAACUUACGCUAAUACCGCAUACGACCUACGGGUGAAAGCAGGGGAUCUUCGGACCUUGCGCGAUUGAAUGAGCCGAUGUCGGAUUAGCUAGUUGGCGGGGUAAAGGCCCACCAAGGCGACGAUCCGUAGCUGGUCUGAGAGGAUGAUCAGCCACACUGGAACUGAGACACGGUCCAGACUCCUACGGGAGGCAGCAGUGGGGAAUAUUGGACAAUGGGCGCAAGCCUGAUCCAGCUAUACCGCGUGGGUGAAGAAGGCCUUCGGGUUGUAAAGCCCUUUUGUUGGGAAAGAAAAGCAGCAGGUUAAUACCCCGCUGUUCUGACGGUACCCAAAGAAUAAGCACCGGCUAACUUCGUG
rnacentral:rRNA from 1 species